AAAGAAUCAUUGCCUGGAUUCCUUCCCUCAGACUAGUUUUCUUUUCUGUAUUGAUGUCUGAGGCUCUUCAAAGAAUCGUUACAUCGGAGGAGGUGUAAAAAUACACUGGGCUGGGUGGACAGUGUGGAAACGGGGCUGAGGGCUGGCUGAACCAUGAAACUGAGAGCAUUACAUUUCCCCCAGCAGGUCUUCAGCAAUUCUAC
rnacentral:lncRNA from 1 species